GGCCUCAGAUAAACAAAUGGUUAGAGUGUUGGACUACAACUCUAGAGACUAGGGUUCAAUUCCCAGCUUGGCCA